rnacentral:rRNA from 1 species
UGCCAGCAGCCGCGGUAAUACGGAGGGUGCAAACGUUGCUCGGAAUCAUUGGGCGUAAAGCGCGCGUAGGCGGCUUGAUAAGUUGGAUGUGAAAGCCCAGGGCUCAACCCUGGAAGUGCAUCCAAAACUAUUAGGCUUGAGUCCCGGAGGGGCCCAGAGAAUUCCUGGUGUAGAGGUGAAAUUCGUAGAUAUCAGGAGGAAUACCAGUGGCGAAGGCGCUGGGCUGGACGGGUACUGACGCUGAGGUGCGAAAGCGUGGGGAGCAAACAGGAUUAGAUA